rnacentral:rRNA from 1 species
UGGGGAAUUUUGGACAAUGGGGGAAACCCUGAUCCAGCCAUCCCGCGUGUGCGAUGAAGGCCUUCGGGUUGUAAAGCACUUUUGGCAGGAAAGAAACGUCGCGGGUUAGUACCCCGCGAAACUGACGGUACCUGCAGAAUAAGCACCGGCUAACUACGUGCCAGCAGCCGCGGUAAUACGUAGGGUGCAAGCGUUAAUCGGAAUUACUGGGCGUAAAGCGUGCGCAGGCGGUUCGGAAAGAAAGAUGUGAAAUCCCAGAGCUUAACUUUGGAACUGCAUUUUUAACUACCGGGCUAGAGUGUGUCAGAGGGAGGUGGAAUUCCGCGUGUAGCAGUGAAAUGCGUAGAUAUGCGGAGGAACACCGAUGGCGAAGGCAGCCUCCUGGGAUAACACUGACGCUCAUGCACGAAAGCGUGGGGAGCAAACAGGAUUAGAUACCCUGGUAGUCCACGCCCUAAACGAUGUCAACUAGCUGUUGGGGCCUUCGGGCCUUGGUAGCGCAGCUAACGCGUGAAGUUGACCGCCUGGGGAGUACGGUCGCAAGAUUAAAACUCAAAGGAAUUGAC